GUGAAAUAGUGAAGAAGUCAUUUUGAGUUUCUAUGUUAACAUUCUCUUUAGAAACCUAGACUAGAAGAAAUGCUGAAAGAAAAAAAGAGACAGUGAGGGAGAGAAGAAAAAUGAAGAAGCUAUGACGCAAUGACGACGAGCUCAAGCCUCAACCUCCGGCAAUGUCUCACCGGUGAAUGAAGGUUUAAUAGUGGCGUAGCAAAAAAUUUCUAGAAACCCAUUUCAAUUUGUACUGGUCUGAAAUGAAGUUACCGACGAAAAGCACUAGAAUCCACUGAAAUAGUCGAUACAGGCCGAAACACCACGGUAUUUAGGACGGUACGAAUCAGCCUAGUUUGUGUACCGGUCCAACCACCAGCACGAAAAAUUUCGGCCGUACUAGCCGGUACGCUAUGAAAUUAACUCCCUUGGUUGGUUGUUGCGUGUGUGAAGUGUGAAGUGUUUGAGGCCCGAUCUAAUUUCAGUAUACUAGGAAAUAUGUUUGAGGGGAAGGAGUUGGGAAAUGGUCUCGUUGAAGAAGAGAGGGAACUUUCUAAGUCUUCAACUAAUAAGGUACUUAGUUAUAUACUGAGACAGCUUCUCCCUUUUACUUUCUAAGGACUACAAUGGAACUUUCUCUAUAUGUUUGAAGGGUUUAAAUGGUGUAUACUGUUCUUGAAAAGGUGAAGUGAUUUCUGUUUAUAGUUGUCAAGCUUUUUAAUUAGCUUUUCUGCCUACUUUCUAAACUGCUGCAACAUUUAGAUGUGUUGUACUCAACGGUAGAAAUUCCUUUCUUGUCUUUCUGCCCUUGGUUGUAAGCUAAUGAGUAUAGCUUAUUCUAUAUUAGUAAUGAUGCUAGUUAUGUCUACAGAGAGAGAAAUCAGCAAACCUUAGGUA